GGAAUAGUAGCGAAGUGGCUUAACGCAAUGCUGACGAGUAUUUUCGGGGGUUCGAAUCCCUCUUAUUCCUGCA
rnacentral:tRNA from 1 species